UGAACUCAUUAUUGUCUAAUUAGACAUGAUAGUUGACAAAGUUACCACGAGGAAAGUUGACUAUGUAAAAUAAAUGGGUAUAUUGAUUAAAAGAAGAACAUUAUGACAGUAAAUGAUAUAAAGCCAAACUGGUUUUGAAGGAAUAUCAAAAUAAAGUUAUGCUAAGAAUUUCUCUCUUGUAAUGAAACUAACAACAUCUACAGGUAAUUGGACAGAUGGUAUAGAAAGAAUUGCACCUAGGGCAAUUGGAUGUAAGGACGGUCCUUUUUUCAUGGUGAUUUGGACGAAAAAAUUACAAGAUGCAAAUAUAAGUUUUCGAGGUACAAAAACAGGGGAAAAUGGUAUGUGGACUUUAAAAUAGUUUGCAUAGUCUUAAAUUAGUUUGGAGAGAGUGUUAUUAGUGGUUUGAUAGUUUUAUUAGGAGUAAUGGCUUCAUAAGGUGCCACAUGGAUCAUUGUUGUUAUGUAAGGAAUCUUGGUAUCUCCUAUAUUAUCUAAUGGGUAUAUGUGAUUGUAGGUGCUUGCAAAAAUGAAGUGACAAGUUCAAAAAUGAGUUAUCCAAUGAACUUACAAAGAAGAAUUUGGGUGUUAUAAAAUAAAUUCUCGAGAUGAGAAUUACAAAGGACAGUGUCAUCUUGAAACUUUCACAAGAAUAGUAUGUGAAGAAGGUGUUGAGCAGGUUCAUGAUAAUGUAAAAUGAAUAAGCACUCCUUUGACUAGUGACUUCAAGCUAUCCAAUGAGCAGCCACCCUCUACGAAACAAGAGUGGAACUACAUAGUUAAGAUGCCUUAUGCCUAUUUUAUUGAAUCUUAUGUAUACCAUAGUGUGAUCGAAGCUAGCAAAGAAAUAAUAUGGUUGUAGUCUUUCUUGGAAGAAUUGUGUCACGUUGUAUUGUA
rnacentral:lncRNA from 1 species